CCUCGACCUGGUGGCUCGAGUCCUCUGCUCGUACAGAAAUGAAUGCCCACGCUCCUCCUCUGCUCUCGCAACCCUAGCCACCGCCCCGUCGCCGGCGUGCCUCCGCGCCGUCGCGCCGCCGUCCGCCGCCGCCCCUCGGAUCUACGCAUCGCCCCGCAACUCUCCGUCCAUCGCCGCUCGCAGCAGCCGCCCAACGUCCCCGUGAUGUCGUCUCCCCAUCUGCCGCCACUCCUUCCGUUGGUCGCCGCCGGCAGCCGCACCAAGUAGAGCUCCUGGACGGGCCUGGCCGCAAGAUCCGCGGCAGAGAAGUCGUUCCCCCAGCUCAAGUGCAGUCUGUAGUGCUAUGAAUUGAUUUCAGAUCAAGUCAAGAAUUUCCCUGCAGUCUGUAGUGCUACGAACUACUCUUGGAGGAGCCUGCAGCAAGAUCCACGUCAGAGAAGCUGUUCCCCCAUCUCAUUGAGCAGCCCCCUCCCCCUCUUGUACCACUCUGUUUCAGCCUGAAUUUGUGCCUACUGUAUGUGGCCAGCCCCAAUUGUUGUGAGAUGGUACACUUCUUGCUGCUACUGUAUGAAUUGGUUUGUACAGUUCUAGUCAGAUCAAUAAUUUUAUUAUGUUGGUAGUA